GACGAACCGUACGAACGUUAUUCGGAAUCACUGGGCUUAAAGGGUGCGUAGGCGGCGCGACAAGUUGGGUGUGAAAUCCCUCGGCUCAACCGAGGAACUGCGCCCAAAACUGUCGUGCUCGAGGGAGACAGAGGUGAGCGGAACUUAGGGUGGAGCGGUGAAAUGCGUUGAUAUCCUAAGGAACACCGGUGGCGAAAGCGGCUCACUGGGUCUCUUCUGACGCUGAGGCACGAAAGCUAGGGUAGCGAACAGG
rnacentral:rRNA from 1 species